rnacentral:rRNA from 2 species
GAUUCGUCACACUAUCAUUAACUGAAUCCAUAGGUUAAUGAGGCGAACCGGGGGAACUGAAACAUCUAAGUACCCCGAGGAAAAGAAAUCAACCGAGAUUCCCCCAGUAGCGGCGAGCGAACGGGGAGGAGCCCAGAGCCUGAAUCAGCAUGUGUGUUAGUGGAAGCGUCUGGAAAGGCGCGCGAUACAGGGUGACAGCCCCGUACACAAAAGCGCAUGUGCUGUGAGCUCGAUGAGUAGGGCGGGACACGUGGUAUCCUGUCUGAAUAUGGGGGGACCAUCCUCCAAGGCUAAAUACUCCUGACUGACCGAUAGUGAACCAGUACCGUGAGGGAAAGGCGAAAAGAACCCCGGCGAGGGGAGUGAAAAAGAACCUGAAACCGUGUACGUACAAGCAGUGGGAGCACAGGUUUACCUG